UACGGGGGGGGCAAGCGUUGUUCGGAAUUACUGGGCGUAAAGGGCUCGUAGGUGGCCAACUAAGUCAGACGUGAAAUCCCUCGGCUUAACCGGGGAACUGCGUCUGAUACUGGAUGGCUUGAGUGUGGGAGAGGGAUGCGGAAUUCCCGGUGUAGCGGUGAAAUGCGCAGAUAUCGGGAAGAACACCCGUGGCGAAGGCGGCUCUCUGGGACGGUACUGACGCUGAGACGCGAAAGCGUGGGGAGCAAACAGG
rnacentral:rRNA from 1 species